GACGAACCGUGCGAACGUUGUUCGGAAUCACUGGGCUUAAAGGGCGCGUAGGUGGUCCGCCAAGUCGGGGUUGAAAUCUUUCGGCCCAACCGGAAAAGUGGCUUCGAUACUGGCGGGCUGGAGGGGGGGUAGGGGGCGGAUGGAACUUCCGGUGGAGCGGUGAAAUGUGUUGAUAUCGGAAGGAACGCCAAAAAGCGAAGGCAGCUCUCUGGGUCCCUACCGACGCUGGGGGUGCGAAAGCAUGGGGAGCGAACAGG
rnacentral:rRNA from 1 species